GAGGAUAUAGCUCAGUUAGUAGAGUAUAAGCUUCAUAUGCACAAGGCCCUGGGGUUCAAUCCCCAGUACCACA
rnacentral:tRNA from 1 species